GUAGUCGUAGUCCGGAUUGGAGUCUGCAACUCGACUCCAUGAAGUCGGAAUCGCUAGUAAUCGUGGAUCAGAAUGCCACGGUGAAUACGUUCCCGGGCCUUGUACACACCGCCCGUCACACCAUGGGAGUGGGUUGCAAAAGAAGUAGGUAGCUUAACCUUCGGGAGGGCGCUUACCACUUUGUGAUUCAUGACUGGGGUGAAGUCGUAACAAGGUAACCGUAGGGGAACCUGCGGUUGGAUCACCUCCUUA
rnacentral:rRNA from 1 species